rnacentral:rRNA from 1 species
ACGAAUGCUGGCGGCGUGCUUAACACAUGCCAGUCGAACGGAAAGGCCUCUUUCGGGGGGUACUCGAGUGGCGAACGGGUGAGUAACACGUGAGUAACCUGCCCUUGACUUUGGGAUAACUUCAGGAAACUGGGGCUAAUACCGGAUAGGUGCUCCUGCUGCAUGGUGGGGGUUGGAAAGUUUCGGCGGUUGGGGAUGGACUCGCGGCUUAUCAGCUUGUUGGUGGGGUAGUGGCUUACCAAGGCUUUGACGGGUAGCCGGCCUGAGAGGGUGACCGGCCACAUUGGGACUGAGAUACGGCCCAGACUCCUACGGGAGGCAGCAGUGGGGAAUAUUGCACAAUGGGUGGAAGCCUGAUGCAGCAACGCCGUGUGCGGGAUGACGGCCUUCGGGUUGUAAACCGCUUUCGCUCAUGACGAAGCUUUGUGUGACGGUAGUGGGUAAAGAAGCACCGGCUAACUACGUG